GAACCCGACGAGAUAAACGGG
rnacentral:snRNA from 1 species